GUUCAUUGUUACUGUAUAGAAAUGCAACUGAUUUUUUUAUAUUAUUCUUGUCUCCUGCAACCUUGCUGAAAUUGUUUGUUAGCUCUAAUAUUUACCCUCCGUCCCUCGGGUGUGUAUCUUCAAUGUUUACUUUCAUCUCCCUUUGUGAUCAGAAAAUAAAUUCAAGUAUGAUAACGAUGACAGUGAUGUUGAUUAUCUGCUGCAUAUGAUGUCUGUGCCAUGGAGUACCAAAAGCCAUCAGGAAAUCAAAACUCUCGCUUGAGGAGACCCCAAAGAACUCUGUUGGUGACAAAGCUCUUCCUUUCCUUCUCUCAUGUGCUGCGUGCUAUAGGAAUGGGUUGCUGCGGUGAUAGGAGCAUAGGGGAGGACAGUGAAGGAGGCUGCAAGGUGGAGGAGCUUAGAUACUGUCCAGGGCUGGAGCUGGCACAUCCUUCCUAUAAUCCCUGGGGUCAUCCUAAGGGCAUGGAGUGUCCCAAGUUCUUCAUGCCAAACUGGUCUCUGAUUUCAUUGCCAUGCUUUGGGAACCUGGAGUGCCCAAGACUACUGUCGGGGAGGCUGGGUCUGGCGGUGACCACACGUGAACUGCUCAUGCAGUUAUACUUUCUCUCCCAACACUGAGGAAAUAAUUCCAAAUAGUUCAGAAAUGUCUGGUGCUGAAACAUAGAGUUUGAAUCGUGGCUUCACCUCCAAUGUGCUGUGUGACCUGGAGGCUGUUUUCUUACCUGUAAAUUGGGACCAUUAACCUCCUCUUCUCAUAGGUUUACUGAGAUGGUUAGAAGAGGCCAGUAAAGUAUCUUACCCACUGCCUGGCACAUGGUAAGUGAUCAAUAGUAGUGGCUUCGAUGGUUAUUAUUGGGCUGGUCACCCAGCCUGUCUUCAACUCCAAGACGAGGGCGCAGCUAGGCGAGCCCAUUCUUUCUGGUUCCUAUUCCACUGUUCUGUGACUGUCCCGCCCAACCCUCUACUCGGGUUUUUCCACACCGCUGAGUCAUGCUGCCAGACUCUGCCCUUUGGCAGUGCUCCUGGUAUGACCCAAUCUCUGGGGUGGACAGGCGAGGAAGACCCACAGCUCUGGAGUCAGACAUCCUGUAUUCCAGUCCUGGUGCUACCACUGAGCAAAUGACUGUGUCUUGGAGACUUACUUUCUUCCCUUGUAGACCCAAUGGAGAUGACUAUAUUUAUUUCCCAAGGCUGCCAUGAAGACUAAACAGGACAGCACAGGGGCAGCAGCCCUCAUAGGUGCCCAGUAGAUGGUAUCUAUAAUUUUUGCAAGGCUUUAUCGAGCUUCUGGGGAGCACAGCCUGGACUGGUGGCUGGGUGAAUAGGAGACAGACACGAGACAGAUGGUGACUCUAUUGCACGCUGAGCACUGGUUCUGUUGCUCUGAGAGCGUGGAGAAAGGACCAUAACUCUGCUGGGGCUGGGCUGGGGAGAGGGCUAGGGAAGGUAUUCAGAAAGAAGGCUCUAGGGGUCGUGAGGGUUCACAGAACGAGACCGGGGAGGGAGUCCUGGGCUGAGGGUACGGCAUGAGCAGGGAGGCAGGAGGGAGCUCAUGAAUUGGUGAAGCUGGAACGGAGGUGUUGUGGCCAGGUCACAGAGGGCCUUGUAAGCCACCAGUGAGACUGACCUUUCCUGGGGGAAGUAGGAGCCAGAGAACAGCUUAUGCAGGCAGUGAUGUGAUCAGAUUUUCAUUUCAGAAAGAUUUUUCUGGCUGCCCUGUGGGGUCUGGAUGGGAGGUGGUAGGAAUGGGCACAGGGAGACUCAAGGACUCCUUUCUGGUAGUCCAAGCAAGAGAAGACAGACCCGACUGGGCCAGGGGCGGAGGGGAGGAAGAUGGAGUCCAGAGGAUUUAGAAAGCAAGCCCCCUAGUGGCAGAGCCAGGAUGCGGACCCAGUGGGGAGAAAGGCUUGGCCCAGCGCCGCCCCCUAGUGGCUGAAGGCGGAGUUCACCAUGGGUCACCUGAGUGCCGCUCAACUCAGGCCUGGCGUAGUGGCCUCUUCUGAAGUCACCGUGUGCUCAUUAAGCUCCUGCACUGUCUGGACAGAUGGAUCCGGAUUCACAUCUUACCGCCUCCUGUUUAUGUUGUGUGACAGGACGAGUGACUUCCUGCCCUGAGCCUCGUUCUCCUCAGCUCAGGCCUAGCACACGGUGCACUAGGUAUUAAAGCAUUAGCAGAACUCCUUCUCAUUCUCCAGAGGAGUCAACCCUGGGGUCCCCCUAUCCUGGCUCUGUUCUCAACAGAGCCUGUCCAGCCCAGCGUGAGGCUUUCCAGGAGCUGGGGCCAUUGUCCCCAGGCUGUAUAUCCCACUCUCCACAAUGUGUCUCUGCUCUUGUACCCAAACCUGGGGUUGCUCAUCAGAUCCAACACGCUGAAGCCAAUUGCCCUGACUCCUGUGGGAUCUAGAAACUCACACACACCCCCAUGUGCUCCCUGAGAGCUGGAAUUAGUGGACAGAGAAGCCAGACUGGCAAGAG